rnacentral:rRNA from 1 species
UACGUAGGGGGCAAGCGUUGUCCGGAAUCAUUGGGCGUAAAGCGCGCGUAGGCGGCCCGGUAAGUCCGCUGUGAAAGUCCAGGGCUCAACCCUGGAAAGCCGGUGGAUACUGCCGGGCUAGAGUCCGGAAGAGGCGAGUGGAAUUCCUGGUGUAGCGGUGAAAUGCGCAGAUAUCAGGAGGAACACCGGUGGCGAAGGCGGGUCUCUGGGCCGAUACUGACGCUGAGGCACGAAGGCCAGGGGAGCAAACGGG